CCCCUUCGUGGGUCCAGGCGGGCUGGGCGAAGGUGAAUAUAUUAUGCUAAUAAGGAGGCUCCUGCGGGAGGGGGCGGUCCGCGCUUCAGGCGCGCGCGCACUGUCUCACUCGAGAGCAUCCCGGGGUAUUUAAGGCUCACAUGCGCGGGUCUGCGGAGAUACUUUCGGGGCCUCGCAGCUCGCGGUCGCUGCUUGGGUCACUCGGUUCCCCUCUUUUCUCUAUUCCUUUACCACCUACGGGGGCCGCGCUCUCGCUGGGUCUCUGCAUUUCCUUUUCUUUUCGGCCUUGAACUGAUCCAGGUGGGAGACAGGUCCGCGGGUGGAAAGAGGUAGAGAUAGGCAGGCAGGCUCAACAGGUCGGAGCAGGGAGAGGGGCUCUCGGACCCUGCGCCUCCGCGCGGGGGACCACUAAGGAGGUGUCGGAUUUUGGAAGGUUAGAAGAGCUGCCCUGGUGGGUUUCAUUUCAGCUGUGACCCCCACACUCCCGGCGCCACACAGUCCCCUGCCGGAGGGUGCUUUUCACUCCUAGCUGGAAGGGGAGAAGGAAUCUGGAGGACGGUCCACGCCGCUGAUCCGGACGCCGAGCCACGCGCAGGUCCAUCUCCAACCAACUAGUUGUGCAGCUGCAGGGACUGAACUUUGCAGGAACCAGCCCUUCCCCUCAUUCUAAGAUUAUUGGAGGAGGUAGAGAGUGGAAGGCGUAGCGGAGGCCGGCGACUCUGCCACAAUGUUGGUGAAGAAGCUUGCAGGGAAGGGAGGGGGACGAGAGUCUGGAUCUGAAGAUCCGCGCCCCUUGGGACAGCGUUGUGCCGGCACCAUGCCCUCGUGCGCGGCCCUGGCGACCCUCCUGUCAGUGGUUGCUGUGGUUUUCUGUUUGUAUCUUGGGGUGAAAACCAACGACCUCCAGGCGAGGAUUGCUGCUCUUGAAUCUGCUAAAGGGACCCCUUCCUUCCAUCCGCUGCCUGACACCAUGGAUGAGCUGAAGGCAAUGGUUCAGGAGAAAGUGGAGCGGCUCUUGGCUCAGAAAUCCUAUGAACAUAUGGCUAAAAUAAGAAUCGCCAGGGAGGCACCUUCAGAGUGCAACUGCCCAGCAGGUAAAAUGGACCUCAUUUAACAAUGUUUCCUUCACAGCAGAACACUGGAAAAAAGGAAAAAAAAAAGGGUGUGUGUGUGUGUGUCUUGUGCUGUCAAGUCUACCUGUAAUAACAGUGAAGAAAGACUGCAGACCCAACCUGCUUUAAUAGAACCAACAUGUCUCAGUCCAAAAGAUGGCAGAAAAGCCCUAAAUAUUGCUUUAUGCAGCAUGCUAAGUCUGCUAUGGGAAAGCGAGGAUGUUAGGGAUGAUAUAAUAUAAUAGGCACGAUGGUAUAUAUAAAGAGAGUUCUUAGGAUCUCACAUUGAAAGCCUUUCACGGGCUUAUUAAACACUGUCAUUUUGUUGUUGGUGGUGGUGGUAAAAAUGGCUGUUGAACUCUUGAUUCUGAAUUCCCCGGUGUCUAAUGCUUUACCAGUACAGUUUGUCGUGUGCCUCUGGUAAACAGAUGUGUGAAUAACCUUUACCUCCUUGCCGGCUUGUAUUCUCUCUCUCCAACGAGGCUCUCUCCCCUGUCCUGAAGCAGAAGAUGAAGAUUCUUCUUUAUCUUGAACUCCCAAUAUGAGCUACUACAAUCCCAAUGCAGGACAGGUUCUUAUGUUUUUACCGGAUUUCUGUGAAGUUUCAGGGAGCAGUUUUAAUGACAAUACCUAAGAGAAUAGGAAAGAGAGACAUUAAUGAAUAUCACUCCUCCCCAACCCCCACCCAGCCAGGGUAAUUGUAACUCUCCAUUCACAGACCUCUGAGACUUGGUAUUUAUCUGUAGAUUUAACAACUUGAAAGUUCUUGGAUGAUGGCCAUUGGAAACAUUGGGUGGAUUCAAGAUUGUACGUCAUAAAACCCCACAAGUGUUAGUGUCUUUUUCAGAUAAACACUGUAAUUCAUUUAUUAUGAACGUUUUAGUUUCACUUAUCAGGCAUGUAGAGUGAUUCUUUUACACUUUAUUUAAUGUUUAAGAAUAUUAUACUCUGGUGUUGCAUAGUACAAGGACAGAUCACGCUAUGCAGGAUGGAGAUCUCACGAGAUUCCAUCAUUUUUUGGUGAUGUAGCCAUUUCAAUAUGGAUAAGCACAGUGUUGGAAAUUGUCAAACAACACAAUUCUCUCUGUUAAGUGGUGAGUGGUU
rnacentral:lncRNA from 14 species